UCUACGAUUUCCGAAUGGGGAAACCCACUGGCAUAAGCCAGUAUCAUUGAGUGAAUACAUAGCUCAAUGAAGCGAACCGGGAGAACUGAAACAUCUAAGUACCCCGAGGAAAAGAAAUCAACCGAGAUUCCGAAAGUAGCGGCGAGCGAAAUUGGAUUAGCCCUUAAGCUUUACAUGUGUUAGACGAACGGUCUGGAAAGUCCGACGAUACAGGGUGAUAGUCCCGUAGUUGUAGAUGCAUGUUCAGUGAAAUCGAGUAGGGCGGGACACGUGUUAUCCUGUCUGAAUAUGGGGGGACCAUCCUCCAAGGCUAAAUACUCCUGACUGACCGAUAGUGAACCAGUACCGUGAGGGAAAGGCGAAAAGAACCCCUGUGAGGGGAGUGAAAUAGAACCUGAAACCGUGUACGUACAAGCAGUAGGAGCACCUUCGUGGUGUGACUGCGUACCUUUUGUAUAAUGGGUCAGCGACUUAUAUUCAGUGGCAAGGUUAACCAUCUAGGGGAGCCGUAGGGAAACCGAGUCUUAACUGGGCGCCAUAGUCUCUGGAUAUAGACCCGAAACCGAGUGAUCUAGCCAUGGGCAGGUUGAAGGUUGAGUAACAUCAACUGGAGGACCGAACCGACUAAUGUUGAAAAAUUAGCGGAUGACUUGUGGCUAGGGGUGAAAGGCCAAUCAAACUCGGAGAUAGCUGGUUCUCCCCGAAAGCUAUUUAGGUAGCGCCUCGGACGAAUACUACUGGGGGUAGAGCACUGUUAAGGCUAGGGGGUCAUCCCGACUUACCAACCCUUUGCAAACUCCGAAUACCAGUAAGUACUAUCCGGGAGACACACGGCGGGUGCUAACGUCCGUCGUGGAGAGGGAAACAACCCAGACCGCCAGCUAAGGUCCCAAAUUACAGCUAAGUGGGAAACGAUGUGGGAAGGCUUAGACAGCUAGGAUGUUGGCUUAGAAGCAGCCAUCAUUUAAAGAAAGCGUAAUAGCUCACUAGUCGAGUCGGCCUGCGCGGAAGAUGUAACGGGGCUAAGUU
rnacentral:rRNA from 1 species